rnacentral:rRNA from 1 species
UACAGAGGUCUCAAGCGUUGUUCGGAUUCAUUGGGCGUAAAGGGUGUGUAGGUGGCGCCGUAAGUCGGGUGUGAAAUUUCGGAGCUUAACUCCGAAACUGCAUUCGAUACUGCGGUGCUUGAGGACUGGAGAGGAGACUGGAAUUCAUGGUGUAGCAGUGAAAUGCGUAGAGAUCAUGAGGAACACCCGUGGCGAAGGCGGCGCCCUGGUCCGUUACUGACGCUGAGACGCGAAAGCGCGGGGAGCGAACGGG